GGACCUGCAUGUUACAGCCACCUCACUUGGCGAGCGGCAGGCAGUCAGGCACCACGCACAGUGCGCUAUGGGAAGGUCCUUCGGCUACACGCCCUCUCACGUUAUAAUCAAGUGGCCUAAUAAGGUAUCCCGACGCACGAUGGGUUCCAGUCACUCUACAGCGGUACGUGAAGGUACUCAGCAGAGGAAUCUAGCGAAAGGGGGAGUGGCCCAGCGCAAGCAGCUACACUCGUCACUUUGUUCACCUCCGCUCCUGAGUCGCCAAUGGUUCAAGUCGGGGCUAGCGACGGGCUGGCUGCCGCCAGUGUGGCCUUGCCUGUGGUGCUGCGGGCGGGGACAAGGACACCCACACCACUCCUUCAAUGCCACUAUCGUCGCGGCAAAUGUUUAGGAUUCAUCACCAUCUUCAAAUGCGAAUGAGGUGUUGGAGGGAAAACUGCGCGCUGAGGUUGCGUGGGAUCGUGCAAUGGCCAAGGAGUCUUACCGAGCAACUACCAAAAGAAGAUAAGCACUCGUUGUCUGUGCCCUGCGCCCCUGUGUGGUUGCCUAUGUUGCCUGUGUGCCACAGCCAGCGUGCCUGGAACUUGUGUGCUUGUGUCUGAAGCACGGUGUACUGUACUUCUGUGCUUGCCAGUAAAGUGGAAUAGCCGUU